UAGGGCAGAGCACACCCACUGCACCUGCAGGAGCUGCCCCCAGGCAGCCAGCCUUGCCACCUCUUCUGCCACAGGAUCCUGCUUCCAUCACCUGCUGAAACGAGCAAGAGGUGUCCUCCUGUCUCCAUCAGAAAGAUUUCCAUCCCAAAACCACAAAGCAAGCAGCUGGAAGUGCAGGAAGAGAACAUGGAAGGAGAUUGACAUCUGUUUUCCAUUCACCUCCCUGAAGCAGUUCUUCUUCCAACUCCAGGUCUAGCUCAGCAGCAUACCAAGCUCUUUCACCGUUGGAGUCUGGAGGAAACAAGGAUCAAUUUCAAUUUCCUUUAAUGCACCUGCCUCUAAUUCAUGGCAGCUCAGCAGCUGUUCCUGAGCAGCUGUGGUACCUCUGCUGUGGAGGCAGGAACCUUGGAGAGAAGGGCAGGGCUCAUUCCUGGCUGAAGUCAAAGGCACAAGGUGCUGGCUGACACUGAGAUACCAAACUAGAGGCUGGUACACCCACCAGAUCCGAUGUCUCUAGGAGAUUGUGCAGGUCCAAGCAGCAGCACAAAGCACCAUGAAGUCAAAUGUAACAUUAAAAAUGCAUUCAGCAUAGUCAGUGUAUCUUUCUACCUAGAUUCCCUUGAAAAUCAUAGCUCAUCUGGGACAAGUAUGACUCCAUCUGCUGCACAUACACCUUUGCACAUACAACUUUGGAUCCCUGGUACCUUUUGAAAUUCAGGUCAUAUAUACUUGAAAUCAGGUCUUCCUGAAACUUUAUCUGGGAGCAGUAAGGUCUCCACACAGCAUUUCUGCUACUUUCCUGAGCUAUGGAAGGACCGACACCAGCAAAGAUGAACAACACUUGAGUAUUGCCGCCUAUGAUACAAUCAACAGAGCCCCACAGCGCUGAUGUUUGGAUCAUUUGGUGCCCAGUUAUGCCCUCCCCGAGUUCACAAGAGUUUGUGAUGGGGCAUGUUCAGGCUUCCAGUGUAUGAGAAAUAAUGCUAAUGAUAUUAUAUGUUUUGCCUGCAUUUCGGUCUGGUGCUUAGAAAAUAAACAUCUUGGCUUUGCCUCAGUGUUUAUCUUCAAUAAAUACCUCAGCUUUGCCUCAACAAUUAUCUCUUCACAGCAGACGAUUAUCCAGCAGCAACAUAUAAUUCCAUUAACAUUACCAUUUAAAAUAUAUCCUCUCUGUACCACAGAAAGGAGCUGUCUGUGGGAAAUGUCAGGGGCCCAUGUAUUUUUGGAAUUAAAAUUAAAUCAUUUGGGCUAUUUUUUAAUCCUCCUAGUUUUUGUUUUCCUAUUUCUUGUUUUGCAAAAUACUUGUUCUCUGUAGCUUAUGAGAAGAUUGCAAGUGGAGAAACUUGGAAGGUGCCCAGGGAAAGCAAAUUUCAGGGCAAUUGCAUGCCAAGGACUCCUGCAGGGGAUAACUGAUAAAGGUCCAACAUGUCAUCUGAACCUGCUUAGAACUGACAAUAGAACUUAAGGAGCAGGUUUUUUUAUUGGGCUUUUUUGUAACUCUGAAGGAAGAGCUAUGAGAACCUCCUAGUGAUAGCUGUUAAACAUUAACAUCAUGUUGACAUUUAAAUCAGAUUGCACAUAAGCCAGCAAGACACCUAGAAGGAAACAAGCUGUUUAAAGAAAAAAAACCUCUCAGUAAUUUAGGAGUAGUGUAGGUGCACUGUGGGAGGGGCCAGUGCCAGAAACAUAUUGCUCUGUGCAAACAGCCAACACAGCAGCAUCUGGAAGGUAACAGCCCCUGUUAUGCACAAGUCCUUUUGUCCUCUGCAUACUGCAUUGAGCCAACCAGGCAGUUAGCACUUAGCAAAUAUGCUGUAGGGCAAAUUAAAUGGGAGAGGAUCUGUUCUCAUGUACAUCAGUAUAAGUCUAGAGGAACUCUAUUAAAUUUGCAGAAGUAAAUGAGAUGAGAACCUGGCUCGUUGGGUUAAUGGCCAGUUAAAUGCUGGCAAAGAUCUCAAACAGUAGGAUCUCUCUGAGGGAAAAAAUUGCAGUGAUGAGAUGUGACUGAAGAGGAAUGCACUGUGGCAGAACUGGGCAAAAAGAGUCCAGGUGUGGAUGGAAACAAUACCUGGAAUCUGCAAAGAAAUCCUCUGUAGCAAAGUCCAGUAAAGGAUACAGGUUUCUACGGGUUAAAAAAAGGAGGUGGAAGGAAAGGAAGAGAAGGGUAACUUGAGCUGUUUGAGAACCUUGCAACCUAGCCUGCCAUUUCCCACACUCAUGCAGUAUCUUGCUGUUGGAUCUCAGCAUUUCUGAGUUUCCGCACAGCUCAAAGUCACCAUUAUUUCACAUGUCCUGAAGCCAGUAUGGCUGUGUGGCAUCCCAGCAUGAAGAUCUGAGGGAGCUUCAUACAAAGCACCACAAACAUGGCCUUGUGCCUUCUGAGGGCACCCAAUAUUUCCUGGAAUAACCAGUAGCACACUUUACUCAGCCUUUGGGAUCCAAUAUGGAUGACACAAGCCUACAGGAGGAGCAUCUCCCAAAGCAAAGACCCAUCUCUGCCAUCAUCCAUCAUUAGCUAGCAAUAUUUUUGUACUGCUGAAGUGUGGUUCUGGGAAGGUGAGGGUAGAGGCUGCUCAGAGGCCUCAGUUAUGGCAGGACCAGGAGUUUCAUGUGGUUCUGUAGAAAGGCUCCCUGCAGGAUCAUCUCUAGAGAUGUUCUCUACCUCCUCCAGCAGCAGUGAGACAAAUGACAGUGUAAGCUGGGUUGAAGUAAGUGUACAGGCCACUAGCAUGACUGAACAGGCCUGGCAAAUUUGGCACUUGCUCAUUAGGAUACAUGAGUCACAGGCUUCCUCCAUAGCCCUCUUAUCUUCACUAAGCAGCCAAAAUUAAAGUAAAUCUAAAAAAUGUGACUUAGCUCCAUGGUUCAGGUGCUCAGGUGGGAGAGGAUGGUCUUUGCUCCUAUUCUUCUUACGUAUUUCAUCUAAUGUGAAAUGCAUGAAUAGCCCUGAGAGUAGGGACAGAAGUAAAAUCAUAUGAACUGGUGGAGUGGUCAACAAUGAAGAAAUCAGGUCCCUGAAAAGGAUCAACUGACAUUAUUGGCAAGCUGCGCACAAGGAAAUAAUUUUUAAUAUGAACUUCAGGACAGCCAAAAGUAAGAUCAUGUAUCAGGGCACAUUUUGAAGGGCAACAACACAGGUUCAAGGAGGUGUUAGAAGCAGUGACUCUGCAGGUGGCCAAAGCAGAAAACUAAACAAAAGGAGAUUUUUGUGAAAGUACUAGAGGAAUCCUUGUGUGGGAACUCUGGAUGUUGAGGAUAAAGUCUUUAACUGGUCAUGGUUUAAAAGUGUGCUGGCCUCAUGUGUACAACACAAGAAGAACAUUAAUAGAUUGAGGGACUUCAGAAAAGAAUUCCCAUAAAUGACUGAGGAUUGGAAAAUGUGUUUCACAGCAAGAGUUUCCAAAAGCUGAAGAUCUCCUCUAGAGCAAAGAGAAUGGUUCAGAUAGGUGCAAUACGGGACAAUCUGCAUUUCAAGAAAACUUUGGAAUUGAGCUCUUACACACAUCUAUCUAGAUAACCUGCCUUGGAAAUAAAGCAAGCUGUUUCAACAGAGCAGAAAUUAACUGCUGGAACAAUUUAGUUGGAGUGGAAGUAGAUUCUUCGUCACUGGAAGUGGUUAAACUAAACUUGGCUGUUUUACUCAAAGAAAAGCAAUAAUUUGAACAGGAAUUAUUGUAGGGAAACCCUUUGGUCUGUUUUAUAGAGAAGGUCAUGCAAGAUGUUUCAUUCUGGCCAUCAGUCAAUGAAAACAAGCUCAACCUGUGACCUGCUUCUCCUCUAUCCUCCAUUUCUCAUCACAAGACCUGUAAGAAGUAGAAGGGAAAUGAAGCAUCUCCAGCAUUGCCUUUUGCCUUCCUGAGAUGGAGAACCCCAGGAACUCCAAAAGGGGGAGAGAGAAAUGGGCAAGAAGUCUUAACUGCAGGAACUGAGCCUGAAAAUUCAGGAAUUAAUAGCAUAUUUCUUGGGGUUGCAUAACUAUAAUUAUUGAGCAAGAGAAGAGAGCAGAUGUGGGCUCAUAGGAUGUAGGAUAAAUUCAUUAGAAAUGAAGAGUCUGGUGGCCAGCUGGAAACUUCUUAGUCUCUGGAGGCCAGAGAGAGCUCUUCCAGAAGAGGGUAUCAUUCUCUGUCCACCUAAAAAAACUAGCAACGCUUACUGCCUGCCUUUCUUUAUACAUACACAAGAGAAAGAAGUAAAGGAAGAAAGGAAGAAUGGAAGAAAGGAAGAAAGGAGGAAAGAAACAGCCCUUUUUGAACUAUCUCAUGGUACUAAGAUUAUUCCAUAGUUUGAAGAGUUCUGAUUUUUCUCCCUUUCUGGCAUCAUGAGUACUGUGCAAGAUCCAAACCCUACAAGGCAUUCAGUGGCCCCCUCAGACAGCUUUCCUGAGCAUGUUAUCUCAUGCCUUUGUGAAUGUAUCCACUAAGGAUGCUGCAAUGACCUCUCUUGGCAAGCCAUCCAUGUAUCAAAUUGCAGGCAUGUCUUUUUUCACAAGCUGCUCUUUACAUAGUGUCUGCCAGGAGACCCAAAGAGAAAUCAGCUCAAAAACCUUUGCUGCUAAUUGUCUGAAACGUAAAGUCAGAAUGUUACCUAUCUGGAAAAAAAAUCCUCUACUCACUUUUUUAGUGUUAAUAUAUCAUCAGUAUAACAGUUCAGCCAAUAAAAUUUGUCAAAGAGCCAGACGAGAUUAAACAUAAAAUAUUUGAUUUCUGAGUACUCAAAUCUCCUGCUUCUCUAAAGAAUAGCACUUAGUUAGAGUCAUCUUAAGUGCAUUAGCCUCCCUUGACAACAAUUGUAUAAAUCCCAUCACAAAAUUAGGAUACAAUCCUAUGAUGCUUACACAAACUGAAAGCUCAUGCCAGUAUUUACUUCUCUGACUUCUCUGUUGUUUAUCCCGGGUAGAAGACGUAUUUCAGCUAUCUGAAUGUGAACUCCAGGCUUUCUCACAGUGUUCCUCUCAGCAUCCCCACCCUGACCUGAAGGAAGUACUUGUACUUACAUCUUUAGGACGCUGUACAAGUCAUGAUAGUGGUGCAACAUGCAGCUCCACCUACCUGUGACUGGACAGGUAGAUAAGGAAUCUAGCCCAUGCUCCCAUCUGAAUAAAGAAAAGCUCCCUAAUAGGAAGGAUAAUGAAGCACUGGAACAGGUUGCCUCAGGCACUGGUGAAGUCUCCAUCUAGUCUUUAAGAACUGGUUAGACGAGCAUUUGUCAGGAACAAUAUAUGUGCAGUUCAUUUUGCUUUCCAACCCUAUUUUUCUAGAUUUAGGAUCAAAUUCUGACCCUGAAGAACUGUUAUGAGCAUUAUGUCUGUUCCCUACAUCCUGGGAAGCUAACAAGACUGUACGGCCCGUAUCUACUAUUGUCCUGCUACUGGAGUCAUUGGUCUUGAUGGGCAUUUGGAUCAUCAAAUCCCAAAGCAAGCAGCAGCUUCCAGACUUUCAUAAUUUGCAUUAUUUUUAGGCCAUUGCACAGUCCUCAUGACUGAUCUGCGUGGAGUGUCUUUGCUGUAAACCCUGAGGGAGAGGAGAGAAAGGGUUCAUGAAGACAUAAUUUCCAAAGGUGAUAAGCUUGCAUCUGUUUUGAGCUGUAAAAUGGCACUUGUUGUGAAAUCCUCUCAGAGCAUACCUUAUAAAUGCCAAACAAGCACAACACCAAAAGCACAUAAAGAAAUAAUUGAAAGGCUCUGGAGGGAAGCCAAGAGGACGUGGCUGAUGUUUCACCUAACCUCACCCCCUCGCUAGCUCUCGCCCGGCAGCCCUGCCUGCAUGAUGUGAGCCUCGGAGCUGCAGCAGGCAGCUGCUUCUUGACUGUGCACACUGUCUGACCUACUGGCAGCAGGACAAGAAAAACAAAGAGGCUACAAACAUAAAACAGAGAGAGAUUAGGAACUGUGUGGCCGGGAGUACUUUCACAACGGUGCCUGAGCCAGGCCCAGAAGGCCCAGCUUGGACCUCUGCCAGCCAUCCACCACAGCGCCUGCUCCAGCAGGUCCCCUUGUCCUGUCAGGGGAGGCCCAGCUUGGAGGUAUCUGAAGUGCCUCCUGGCCCUAUGUUUGGUGGUUCAGCCCUGUCAGGCUAGAGUUAACAGGAAGAACUUGUCAUCAGAUUUGCCAGGCUUUUUCCCACUUUGAUUCCCCAGCCUCCAGCCGCUUGGCCUUUAUAUGCACAGAGUCAUUUACCUCCUCCUUUGCACCCCCCACAUACCUUUCCUUUGCACAGGACAGUUUAUUCUUCAACAAUCUGUAUUAAAACUAAUUAUCCCAUGAUCUUUUAAUUACUUCCAGUUGUGUACUUACUGUGUAAGUUAUUACCAUGAACAAAGGAUGACAAGGACACAAAAACUGCAGAGCCUGACCUGUCAGUAUGCUGACCUGCUAGCAUGCUGUUUCCAUGUAACCUGGAAGGGUUACAUGAAAAACCAAGCUGACAAACCUGACAUGCUAAGAGAAGCCAAGCUAUCCUGUAGCAGGAAUUUGGGCUCAGUGGAAGUGAACAGUGUUAAUUAUUGAUUGAUCAUAUUCAGCUGUGUUCAAGUUAAGUGUUUAAGACUGAUCUUUUAUUUGGCUUUACAAUAUAAACUGUGCUAAUGGGGCAGUGAAGCCACAAAGCUUUACAGUGGAUUUAGAAAAAUUCUUCAUGUUAACAUCAGCCUAAGUGACAAAAGUAUUCCAGAUCCUAAAUGAAAAGAAACAAGUCAUAAUUUUUUACUAGGUGCAGUCAAAAAACCUGGAGUUCCAGUCAUAAAUCAGCAGAACCAUGGUCUCCUGACGCAAGCAGUAGCAGAGCAGCAAAGCUGUUGCUGAAUGGCAGUGAAACAGAAGCAAAUAUCAGAGACUGGGAGGGGGCUGAAAGCAAGUGUGAUUCUCCUUGCUAAGAAUGUGAGAGCCAAUGAGGAAGACCUAAAAAUGAAUGCACAGUUUGGCCAAAACCAGAUACAAAAUUAAAAUCAACUGGAUUUCAGAAGAUUUGGUUUUGUUUGUUUAUUUGUUUACUAGACUUAUUUUUAAUCUGGCUGUUUUUCAUUUUGGUUAGUUUCAUUUUGAGGCCAAAGUGAUGAAACACAACAAGAAAGGAAGCUCUUGUGGUUUUUCAGAGCCUUCCAGAAGCAGAGUAAUGGAAAACCAAUAACAAGCAGGAAGGACUGGAAAGCAUGUGAGAUUUCUCCUACAGAAUCUGUUGAGUUCACAGAAUAGUUAAGGUUGGAAGGGAUCUCUGAAGGUGCCAUACAGCAUAUUUCUUGAGGCUGUGCAGCCUAGCACAGGGACAGGAAGACAUGGUAAACUCGGAGAGUACCAAAAUUGGAUUACUUUUGGAAGUGUACUGAUCCAUUUAUUCCCCUUCCAUUCCAACCAACCCUUUAUGCUCCUUCAAAGAUCUUUAGUUCUAGUCCUCCAUCAGUCACAGGACUCACUUCAUGUAUGGCCAGCAAUGGCUGGUGAUGAGUUCCUAUGCUCUCUUCCCUGGGAAGGUCAUGCACUUCCUGAACUUAAUUAACACUGGUCAGAGAUUGCAUUAGCAGUGUGCAAGCUUAGGCCAAAUUCCCAAACACUGUAGAACUAACUUUUUUCCUUCCUCUUCUCAGUAAAAAGUUGUCAGCUCCAGGGAAAGUGCAUAGCCUAGCUCUAGCUGGUGUCUUAUUUGUUUCUCCUUACAUAGUAACUCCUAUUGCAAAAAUAUGCAUGUGUCUACCAUUCCAUUUAUCUAAUUGCAUUUCAAGUUUGUUUUACAGGCUAGUCCAGACAGACUUUUGAACAUAGUUAAAAUUAUUCUCAUACAAUCAUUGUGCACAAACGUAAAGAAGAGUGAAUUAACUCUGAACAUUGAACAGACUACUUGUUCAACUGAAAUACUCAGCAAACACUGGCAAAGGAAACAAUUGGUUCCUAAAAGUUCAACACUUGCUCCCAUCUGCUCUGGAUGGAAAAACUCAAGAACAUAAUUUCUGAGACCACCCAAAUUCACAGAGUGAAAAUGCAGAGUGGAAUUGUCAACUUUCUUGUGACUUUAUAUUAUGCUCUUUGGAAUCUCGUUGUUUUGACUAUAAAUGCAGAAGAAGAUAAAGCAAUUGGAAAAAAGUGAUUAGAUGUAUAACAAUGGUUCAAGAAUUGAAGAAGAAUAAAAUUCCAAUUUGCAAAAGCUGAGCAAGGGAAAAAAGAAAGCAAGCAUAUUGCUGUGACCACAUUAUGUCAAGAAUAGGAGAGCUAUUCUGAGCUAUGACAUUACUUCAGUGAAGAAGAGACAUUAUCCUUCAUCUGUAGGGAAAAAAAAAAACAAUUGAAGAAAUCUCAAGUUACAGUGUACCUUCCUAAACGCACCAGUGCGUGCUUUUGCAAAAUAUAUGCAAAAAUAUUCCAUCUGCUGGGCUGCAUGCCGACACUUCUUGUCUUCUAGGACUCAGUCUCUCCACUCAGUCAGGACGACUGCACCUCCAUCAAGUAAAUCAAAGGGAAAUCACCACAGUAGAAGAUAAUUUUCAUUUGAGUUAACUGGAGUGCUAGCCGAAUGUAAAAAAAUCAUCCCCUCUCAAAGGCUCAGACAUACUAUCUUUUCUAGCAAUGUUUCCCCAAAUCAAACUUAUUAACUCAUAAUAAUGAAGUAUUGUAAACAGUUUAAUACCACUGAACUCUUUUAGAAAUUGUUUAAUGUGCUGGUUGUGGUUUGGUUUGGUUUGGUUUGGUUCAGUUUGGUUUACUUUGGGUUGUGAGAGUUUUUCUCUGCUGAUUUUCAUGAUGAAAGGCAUGAAUCUGAUCUUGGUUCCGUGCUGUGGUACUGGAGAUUUGCACCACUGAGCAGUUCUCAUACAGAAGGGAUAAUUAGUGAACACACAGCCAUGAAAAAAUAAGCCAGGAAAGCACGGUUAUUAUAUGUAUAAGAUGAGAACACAAUUUGAGAAGACUUGAGAAUACAUAUUUUUGAAAAUUGGAUAUAGCAAGACCAACUGCUGCUUUCUCUCAUGCGCCUCAUUUUAGUACAUCAGGCAAGUAUACAGCAAGAAUGAAGAAUACUUAAACUAAUAAGCAACUCUGUCCUGAAACCAAACAAAUGGAAUUUGGAAGAUUUUAUGUCACGCAAGUGAAAUACUGGAACAACCCAUCAUUAGGAGCAGAGAGAAGAAAAAUCCUAUCCAAAUCAGAGAUGAAG